AUGUGUGAGGAAAGUCCGUGCUCCAAUAAUUGACGCUGGAUAACGUCCAGUGGGGGCGACCCUAAGGCUAGUGCAACAGAAAGAAACCGCCUAUUUAAUAGGUAAGGGUGGAAAGGUGGCUUAAGAGACCACCAGCAUAUAAGAGAUUAUGUGGCUAUGUAAACCCCGUCAGGAGCAAGAUCAAAUGGGACCUUUUUAAAGGUCAGAUGGUAGAUCGCUAGAGCUUAUUGGUAACAAUAAGCCAAGAUUAAUGGUUAGCAAUAACAGAACACGGCUUAUAGAAUUACUC
rnacentral:RNase_P_RNA from 1 species